AUUGAACGCUGGCGGCAGGCCUAACACAUGCAAGUCGAGCGAGCGGCGGACGGGGGAGUAAUGUCUGGGGAACUGCCUGAUGGAGGGGGGUAACUACUGGAAACGGUAGCUAAUACCGCAUACCAUCAGAUGUGCCCAGAUGGGAUUAGCUAGUAGGUGGGGUAACGGCGCACCUAGGCGACGCGCCCUAGCUGGUCUGAGAGGGUGACCAGCCACACUGGAACUGAGACACGGUCCAGACUCCUACGGGAUGCAGCAGGGGGGAAUAUUGCACAAUGGGCGCAAGCCUGAUGCAGCCAUGCCGCGUGUGUGAAGAAGGCCUUCGGGUUGUAAAGCACUUUCAGCGGGGAGGCGUUACCCGCAGAAGAAGCACCGGCUAACUCCGUGCCAGCAGCCGCGGUAAUUC
rnacentral:rRNA from 1 species